UCAAAAAGUCAUAGUAUAGUAUGUCAAACAAGUGUUCAAAUACUCAGUAAAAAAAAUGUAUGUCGAAAAAGUGUUAAAAAAGUAUAGUUUUGCGACAUAGUAUAGUAUGGCGCAAAACGUCAUAGUAUGUCAAAAAAGUGUUAAAAUAGAGUAUAGUAUGUCGAAAAUAAUUGUAAAAAACAUCAUAGUAUGGUGUGAUAAUAAGUCAUAGUAUAGCAUGUCGAAAAAGGUUUCAAAGUCACAGUAUGUCGAAAAAAGUUUUCAAAAAGUCAAAGUAUAGUAUGUCGAACAAGAUUGUAAAGAACAAUGAAAAAAGUCAUACUAUAGCGGGUCUAAAAAAAGUUUUCAAAAAGUCAUAGUGUAGUAUGUCGAAAAAAGUUAAAAACGUCAUUGUACAGUAUGUCGCAAAACAUCAUAGUAUAGUAUGUCCAAAAAAAGUGUUCAAAUACUCAUCGUAUAAUAUGUUGAAAAAAAGUGUAAAACAUCUUAGUCAUAGUCAUAGUGUAGCAUGUCGGAAAAAAUGUUAAAAAAAAGUCAUAGUAUAUUAUGUCGCAAAACGUUGUAGUAUAGUGUGUCAAAAAAGUGUUCAAAUACUCAUACAAUAGUAUGUUGAAAAAAUUGUAAAAAAACAUCAUAGUAUAGUAUGAUAACAAAAGUCAUAGUAUAGGAUGUCCAAAAAAGUUUUCAAGUAGUAUAGUAUGUUGAAAAAAAAGUCAUUGUAUAUCAUGUCACAAAACGUCAUACUAUAGUAUGUCAAAAAAGUGUUCAAAUACUCAAAGUGUAGUAUGUCGAAAUAAAGUGUAAAAAACAAAAUGGUAUAGUAUAAUGAACAAAGUCAUAGUAUAGCAUGUCGAAAAAGUUUUCAAAAAGUCAUAGUACAGUAAUCAUAGUAAAGUUUACAUCAUAGUAUAGUUUGAUGAAAAAAGUCAUAGUAUAGCACAUCGAAAAAAGUGUUAAACGUCAGUAUAGUAUGUCACCAAACGUCAAAAAAGUGUUCAAAUAUUCAUAGUGUUGUAUGUCAAAAAAAGUGUUAAAAAAAAUCAGGAUAGUAAGAUGAAAAAAGUCAUAGUACAGGAAGUUGAAAAAAAGUUUUCAAAUAGUAUAGUAUGUUGACAAAGUGUUAAAAAAAAGUCAUAGUAUAGUAUGUCGCAAAACUUCAUGGUAUAGAAUGUCAAAAAUGUGUUCAAAUACUCAUAGUAUAGUAUGUCGAAAAAGAUUGUAAAAAACAUCAUAGUAUAUUAUACAACAGUUAGUUCCGGCCCUGCAAUCUGAUUGGUCGAGAGACAGUAAAGCCGUGAUGAUAUUGGAGUGCAACAUCAUGGUUAUUUCACUGUGUAUGUAUCACUCCGCCUCACAGCUGACUGCAAUCAACAAUCAAAUCAAAACUGACGGUUAGUGUCAGUUAGGUCAGCAGUUGCGUUGUAGGCUAAUUAAUUCAUCCACUGUCAAACAGCCAAAAAUAUGGAUUUAUUUCCUAAAAUAAGUUUUGAAUUGAACUAUGAAUGGUCAUCAGAGGAAGAUGAGGGAGAGGAGAAGCUGAAUCCAUCUGAGCACACAUCCAGGUUUGUCAGUGUUUCAUCAGUGGAGCUCAAUGACUUGGAGAAAAGCAACAUACUGUCAGAUCAGAAGGCAGAGUCGGCUGUGCCUGUGAAGCGACAGUCCACCAUGCAGUCACCAGAGACUUAUUUCACCGGCUGCACAAUUAAUGGAAACGUGCAGAUAAAUGUGUAUAAAGAGUAAGUGCCUGGCGCACCAUGUUUGCGUUACAUAGCAACGGUGACAGCGGAGUCCUGAGGGAACUAUUUUUGUUGGCGGAAGACAAAUAAAAUGCUUAAAUUAUCAA